GACGAACGCUGGCGGCGUGCUUAACACAUGCAAGUCGAACGGAAAGGCCCUGCUUGCAGGGUGCUCGAGUGGCGAACGGGUGAGUAACACGUGGGUGAUCUGCCCCUUACUUUGGGAUAAGCCUGGGAAACUGGGUCUAAUACUGGAUAGGACCAUGCUGUAGGUGGUGUGGUGGAAAGAUUUUUUCGGUAAGGGAUGAGCUCGCGGCCUAUCAGCUUGUUGGUGGGGUAAUGGCCUACCAAGGCGUCGACGGGUAGCCGGCCUGAGAGGGUGGACGGCCACAUUGGGACUGAGAUACGGCCCAGACUCCUACGGGAGGCAGCAGUGGGGAAUAGUGCACAAUGGGCGCAAGCCUGAUGCAGCGCCGCCGCGUGGGGGAUGACGGCCUUCGGGUUGUAAACUCCUUUCAGCCAUGACGAAGCCUCUUUUGGGGUGACGGUAGUGGUAGAAGAAGCACCGGCUAACUACGUG
rnacentral:rRNA from 1 species